GGGUUGUGAGGUUAAGCGACUAAGCGUACACGGUGGAUGCCCUGGCAGUCAGAGGCGAUGAAGGACGUGCUAAUCUGCGAAAAGCGUCGGUAAGGUGAUAUGAACCGUUAUAACCGGCGAUGUCCGAAUGGGGAAACCCAGUGCAAUUCGUUGCACUAUCGUUAACUGAAUACAUAGGUUAACGAGGCGAACCGGGGGAACUGAAACAUCUAAGUACCCCGAGGAAAAGAAAUCAACCGAGAUUCCCCCAGUAGCGGCGAGCGAACGGGGAGCAGCCCAGAGUCUGAAUCAGCUUGUGUGUUAGUGGAACGGUCUGGAAAGUCCGACGGUACAGGGUGAUAGUCCCGUACACCAAAAUGCACAGGUUGUGAACUCGAAGAGUAGGGCGGGACACGUGGUAUCCUGUCUGAAUAUGGGGGGCCCAUCCUCCAAGGCUAAAUACUCCUGACUGACCGAUAGUGAACCAGUACCGUGAGGGAAAGGCGAAAAGAAGCCCGGCGAGGGGAGUGAAAAAGAACCUGAAACCGUGUACGUACAAGCAGUGGGAGCACCUUCGGGUGUGACUGCGUACCUUUUGUAUAAUGGGUCAGCGACUUAUAUUCUGUAGCAAGGUUAACCGUAUAGGGGAGCCGCAGGGAAACCGAGUCUUAACUGGGCGUUAAGUUGCAGGGUAUAGACCCGAAACCCGGUGAUCUAGCCAUGGGCAGGUUGAAGGUUGGGUAACACUAACUGGAGGACCGAACCGACUAAUGUUGAAAAAUUAGCGGAUGACUUGUGGCUGGGGGUGAAAGGCCAAUCAAACCGGGAGAUAGCUGGUUCUCCCCGAAAGCUAUUUAGGUAGCGCCUCGUGAAUUCAUCUUCGGGGGUAGAGCACUGUUUCGGCUAGGGGGUCAUCCCGACUUACCAACCCGAUGCAAACUACGAAUACCGAAGAAUGUUAUCACGGGAGACACACGGCGGGUGCUAACGUCCGUCGUGAAGAGGGAAACAACCCAGACCGCCAGCUAAGGUCCCAAAGUCAUGGUUAAGUGGGAAACGAUGUGGGAAGGCACAGACAGCCAGGAUGUUGGCUUAGAAGCAGCCAUCAUUUAAAGAAAGCGUAAUAGCUCACUGGUCGAGUCGGCCUGCGCGGAAGAUGUAACGGGGCUAAACCAUGCACCGAAGCUGCGGCAGCGACACUAUGUGUUGUUGGGUAGGGGAGCGUUCUGUAAGCCUGCGAAGGUGUGCUGUGAGGCAUGCUGGAGGUAUCAGAAGUGCGAAUGCUGACAUAAGUAACGAUAAAGCGGGUGAAAAGCCCGCUCGCCGGAAGACCAAGGGUUCCUGUCCAACGUUAAUCGGGGCAGGGUGAGUCGACCCCUAAGGCGAGGCCGAAAGGCGUAGUCGAUGGGAAACAGGUUAAUAUUCCUGUACUUGGUGUUACUGCGAAGGGGGGACGGAGAAGGCUAUGUUAGCCGGGCGACGGUUGUCCCGGUUUAAGCAUGUAGGCUGAUUGUCCAGGCAAAUCCGGAUAAUCAAGGCUGAGGUGUGAUGACGAGGCACUACGGUGCUGAAGUAACAAAUGCCCUGCUUCCAGGAAAAGCCUCUAAGCAUCAGGUAACAUCAAAUCGUACCCCAAACCGACACAGGUGGUCAGGUAGAGAAUACCAAGGCGCUUGAGAGAACUCGGGUGAAGGAACUAGGCAAAAUGGUGCCGUAACUUCGGGAGAAGGCACGCUGGUGUGUAGGUGAAGUCCCUGCGGAUGGAGCUGAGACCAGUCGAAGAUACCAGCUGGCUGCAACUGUUUAUUAAAAACACAGCACUGUGCAAACACGAAAGUGGACGUAUACGGUGUGACGCCUGCCCGGUGCCGGAAGGUUAAUUGAUGGGGUUAUCCGUAAGGAGAAGCUCUUGAUCGAAGCCCCGGUAAACGGCGGCCGUAACUAUAACGGUCCUAAGGUAGCGAAAUUCCUUGUCGGGUAAGUUCCGACCUGCACGAAUGGCGUAAUGAUGGCCAGGCUGUCUCCACCCGAGACUCAGUGAAAUUGAACUCGCUGUGAAGAUGCAGUGUACCCGCGGCAAGACGGAAAGACCCCGUGAACCUUUACUAUAGCUUGACACUGAACAUUGAGCCUUGAUGUGUAGGAUAGGUGGGAGGCUUUGAAGCGUGGACGCCAGUCUGCGUGGAGCCAACCUUGAAAUACCACCCUUUAAUGUUUGAUGUUCUAACGUUGGCCCCUUACCGGGGUUGCGGACAGUGUCUGGUGGGUAGUUUGACUGGGGCGGUCUCCUCCCAAAGCGUAACGGAGGAGCACGAAGGUUAGCUAAUCCUGGUCGGACAUCAGGAGGUUAGUGCAAUGGCAUAAGCUAGCUUGACUGCGAGCGUGACGGCGCGAGCAGGUGCGAAAGCAGGUCAUAGUGAUCCGGUGGUUCUGAAUGGAAGGGCCAUCGCUCAACGGAUAAAAGGUACUCCGGGGAUAACAGGCUGAUACCGCCCAAGAGUUCAUAUCGACGGCGGUGUUUGGCACCUCGAUGUCGGCUCAUCACAUCCUGGGGCUGAAGUAGGUCCCAAGGGUAUGGCUGUUCGCCAUUUAAAGUGGUACGCGAGCUGGGUUUAGAACGUCGUGAGACAGUUCGGUCCCUAUCUGCCGUGGGCGCUGGAGAAUUGAGGGGGGCUGCUCCUAGUACGAGAGGACCGGAGUGGACGCAUCACUGGUGUUCGGGUUGUCAUGCCAAUGGCACUGCCCGGUAGCUAAAUGCGGAAGAGAUAAGUGCUGAAAGCAUCUAAGCACGAAACUUGCCCCGAGAUGAGUUCUCCCUGAGACUUUAAGUCUCCUGAAGGAACGUUGAAGACGACGACGUUGAUAGGCCGGGUGUGUAAGCGCAGCGAUGCGUUGAGCUAACCGGUACUAAUGAACCGUGAGGCUUAACCUUACAACGCCGAAG
rnacentral:rRNA from 1 species